CAGCACCUCAAGUGGUCAGGAUGAUUAUUUGGGCCUAAAGCAUCCGUAGCCGGCGCUGUAAGUUUUCGGUUAAAUCUGUACGCUCAACGUACAGGCUGCCGGGAAUACUGCAGCGCUAGGGAGUGGGAGAGGUAGACGGUACUCGGUAGGAAGGGGUAAAAUCCUUUGAUCUAUUGAUGACCACCUGUGGCGAAGGCGGUCUACCAGAACACGUCCGACGGUGAGGGAUGAAAGCUGGGGGAGCAAACCGGAUUAGAUACCCGAGUAGUCC
rnacentral:rRNA from 1 species